rnacentral:lncRNA from 1 species
AGGGAAAUCUUGGGUUUGAGGAAGAAGAGAGGGAGACCUUUGGUUCGGCGGAAGGAAGAAGGUGGAGAGUUGGGUCGGUUCAAGGAGAAUUUUCAACAAAAAGAGAGUGCCUGAAGGAUUUUAUCAUAAUUACAAGUUUAUCCUAGGGUCGACCCUAGGGGUCGACUCAUGGCACAGAGAAAUUCAGAAAAAUGAUGAAAUAAUUUCGAAAAAAUUUGAAACAUUAGGAGAAAGAUGUUUACCCAAAAAAAAAUUGAUCAUGUGAAUGAUAAUUUUGAGCUUUUGAGCUCUUAAGAAAAGAUGAGAAUUGAGCUAAAUAAAUUUUUGGCAUUGAUACCUUGGA